AGGAGCGAGUGGAAAACAUAGUUUCAUGAGUUUCGGUAACUAAUGUGUUUUUAAACCAUUUUGGAGCGAUUAAUCCUUAAAGCUUAGGCCCGCUAAUACUAUUACCUACUUUUGCCCUGUGCUAGAGAAGUUUUAUAAGACUGCCAUGAUAACUGACCAUAUGGUACUUGCCUCUGAAGUUAGUAAGAGUCCAGGGUUUUUAAUGUUCUUAUUUUUUGUUGGUUUUGUUUCUUUGGUUUAAAGACAGAGUAUAAAGUCGGUGGGUAAGGUUCAGGGAUGUAUCUGAGAGCGGUUGGGUGAGGUAAACUUCAAAAUAUAUAGUAUGAUUUUUUUCAUUUAAAAAAGUCUUAAAUAUUGAGAAUAAAUUUAUAAGGUUUGAGAGAGAUUGCCAUAAGGUUCAUAUAGAUCUUGCUAAGACAUCUGGGAGAUUAAGGAAGGCGAUGGGAUAGUUAAUUGAGUACUUAAAGUUUUAUACGUCUCAGGUAUAUUCAUAGCUCUGGGUAAAACUACUUUUUUUGAAGUACAUAGUCCAAGCAUGUAGUUGAAAUUGAGGUGAAUGAACCAUUAGGUUUUACUAUUUCAGCACUUUAUAGUAAAAACUUUUUACAUAGGAACUAUAGAAAUUGAGAUAACGUUGCUUCUCAGUCGGACUUCAGAAUAUUUUGAACUACAGUAGUCUUCUGUUAGUGUUUUUGCAGGUUAAAUUAUCAUUUGAAACCCAAUGCUGUUCAUGAACAUUUAUUAAUAGGUAUAAAUGGUUACAUUGGAAAAGGAGGAACAAACACCUUAUUUCUAAAUAGCCAUACAUUUUGUGGGAGGGCAAGGAAAUGCUUUAUUUUUCUUCAUACUGAAGCUAAAAACACACGAAAUUAUUAUACAAGUUUUUCACACAUUUCAGGUUGACACUAACUUCACACUUCUUACAGAAAAUAUUUAGAUAAAAGUUGUUACUCAGGUUUUUAGCUUUUAAAAUAAUCCAGAGAGCCAAAAUGCCAUUUGCACAAACACUGAAAUUUCUCUCCCUUUUCAUAAAUUAAACUCAGGAGGUAAAAUUUUAACCUUAAUUUUGACAAACAUUCUAUGUUGAUGUAAGGGACUACGCGGAGAAAAUUUGAUAAGCAUAGCCUCUGUUUUCUAGUUUUUCUUUCCUAUCAACUGUUAGGCUGUAGCUCCAAAUUGCAAUCAGUCACUGACUAGAAAGCAACUUCUUAUCCCCCUUUUAUAAAAUCUUGAAGAAAUAGAAUCCGUAAGCAGUUAGAAUAUUCCUCUCUUCUUGAAUAUUACCCCUAGUGUGCACAUGAAAGAAUAAAAACAUAUCCAUGUAUUUUCUCUGGAGAAAGUUAUGUUUAGUCUUAUCUGAACUGAAAUGAUCUUGGACAAGGUCUGUUAUAGUUGUACCACUGAAAUAUAAGAACAUGGCCAUAUUGUGUUUAAAGGGAGAAUUCAGAUAGUUAAAUCCGAAGUUAUUACUUUAUGAAAUUAUUUCCUUUAACAUUAAGUAAACUAAUGUGGUUGACGGCCUGCGUUUAGAACUCUCCUUAUGAACCUACACUAACAUGGAUGUUAGUGCCAUUGGUUCUAGAGGUCAUAAAAACCAUUUUAAAUUCUGACUGCUGCUCCUUCCCAAGUAUGUCAGGUCUAGUUGUCAUUCCUAUUGAAUACAGGCAACUGCCCUCAUUGUUUAAAGACAUGGUGAAGUUGUAAAUAAAAUGGUUAGAUCAUCUAUAGAAAUACCUACUUUGAACAUAGUACUUUUAGAUGACUUGAGAAUUCAACUAGCUGCCUUUCUAUUUGAGCCCUGUCUCAUUACAUCUGCUACUAUGAAUGUCCGGUCCAAAAACUGUCUUCUCCAUUUUUUUCUGUAGAAUCUUGAGGGCUUUUUAAAAAUUCAUUUGUCCUGUUAAUCCUGCUAACAGCCUACUUGUAGAAUGUGUACAUGAUAAAAUUUGUCUUUUAGAUUACUGAAGAUCUAGAAAGACAGUUGUCAGUUUGUUUAGAACUUGGGCUAUUGGAACUCUUGAUGGAAUUUGCUAUUUAAAUAUAAGGAUUUCAGGGGUUAAAUUUUGAUGGCUCCCUAAUCAGUGGAGGGUCUCUACUUAAGUCUGUUGUCCUUUAAAAUUUCCCUAGGAGGCAUUGUACUUAUCCUUGUAAAGCUGCCACUACUCCAAGCACAUUGAAAGUUGAUUUUAAGUUGCAAAAAUCAAUUCUGAGUGUGAAGAUGAUGUAGCACCUUAGCUUGUUGCCUGUAUCAUUCUAACAUUUAAUUCUUCUGUUUCUUCAACACCCCACUUUCUCAAAGUAAAGCUCCAAAGCCACCGACUAGGACCUUCUCUGAACAUACUGACGAGCUGCUAAGCUCCCGUGGCAGCAUUAGGAAUUGUAAUGUCUUACGUAUACAAUAAGUCUAUGUAGAUUUUCUUUGCCAAAGUGUAUAUAUUCCUUGGGUUAGUUUUUUCUGGUCUAAGUGUCUUCUGUCCUCAGAAGUAGAAAAGCUAAAUUGGAUAGCUUUUGCUUUAACAGCUCUACAGAGGAUGCUCUUGUGGCUAUUGAUUUUAGCACAUGCCAGGAAAAAAGUACUAAGUUAAUACUGCUUCCUCACCAUUCAAAAUUCCCAAGUAGGAUAACAGCAAGGUCAGAGGCCCUUGAACUAGAGUUACAGACAGAUUGAGCUGCCAUUUGGGUGCUGGGAAUAGAAUCGGGGUAGGCCCUUUGUUAGACUGAGUGCCUUUAAGCACCAAGCCAUCACUCCAGCCCCCUU
rnacentral:lncRNA from 1 species